rnacentral:rRNA from 1 species
UACGGAGGGUGCAAGCGUUAUCCGGAUUUACUGGGUUUAAAGGGUGCGCAGGCGGAUAUGUAAGUCAGUGGUGAAAUCUCCAGGCUUAACCUGGAAAUUGCCGUUGAUACUAUAUAUCUUGAAUGCUGUGGAGGUAAGCGGAAUAUGUCAUGUAGCGGUGAAAUGCUUAGAGAUGACAUAGAACACCUAUUGCGAAGGCAGCUUACUACGCAGAUAUUGACGCUCAUGCACGAAAGCGUGGGGAUCAAACAGG